GAUGAAGAACGCAGUGAAAUGCGAUAAGUAAUGUGAAUUGCAGAAUUCAGUGAAUCAUCGAAUCUUUGAACGCACAUUGCGCCCGCCAGUAUUCUGGCGGGCAUGCCUGUUCGAGCGUCAUUUCAACCCUCAAGCCCAGCUUGGUGUUGGGGAUCGGCACAGGCGCCCUCGGGCGCCCGCCGUCCCCUAAAUCUAGUGGCGGUCCCGCUGCAGCCUCCUCUGCGUAGUAGUUUUCUCCUCGCAAGGGCAGCUCGGUGGCGACCUCGCCGUAAAACCCCCAACUUCUGAAAGGUUGACCUCGAAUCAGGUAGGAAUACCCGCUGAACUUAAGCAUAUCAAUAAGCGGAGGA
rnacentral:misc_RNA from 1 species